AGGUUGGGGAAGGCUGGUCUAGGAUGACUCUCUCUCUCUCUCUCUCUCUCUCUCUCUCAAACGCACACACACACACACAGAGAGAGAGAGAAAGAGAGAGAGAGAGAGAGUGUGUACUAGGCCUGCCAGAGAUCUCUU